rnacentral:rRNA from 1 species
AGAAUGCGCGUGCUAUACAUGCAGUCGAGCGGACAGAAGGGAGCUUGCUCCCGGAUGUUAGCGGCGGACGGGUGAGUAGCACGUGGGUAACCUGGCUGUAGGACUGGGAUAACUCCGGGAAACCGGAGCUAAUACCGGAUAGUUCCUUGAACCGGAUGGUUCACGGAUGAACGACGGUUUCGGCUGGCACUUACAGAUGGACCCGUGGCGCAUUAGCUAGUUGGUGAGGUAACGGCUCACCAAGGCGACGAUGCGUAGGCGACCUGAGAGGGUGAUCGCUCACACUGGGACUGAGACACGGCCCAAACUCCUACGGGAGGCAACAGUAGGGAAUCUUCCGCACUGGACGAAAGUCUGACGGAGCAACGCCACGGGAGUGAUGAAGGUUUUCGGAUCGUAAAGCUCUGUUGGUAGGGAAGAACAAGUGCAAGAGUAACUGCUUGCACCUUGACGGUACCUACCCAGAAAGCCACGGCUAACUACGUGCCAGCAGCCGCGGUAAUACGUAGGUGGCAAGCGUUGUCCGGAAUUAUUGGGCGUAAAGGGCUCGCAGGCGGUUUCUUAAGUCUGAUGUGAAAGCCCCCGGCUCAACCGGGGAGGGUCAUUGGAAACUGGGAAACUUGAGUGCAGAAGAGGAGAGUGGAAUUCCACGUGUAGCGGUGAAAUGCGUAGAGAUGUGGAGGAACACCAGUGGCGAAGGCGACUCUCUGGUCUGUAACUGACGCUGAGGAGCGAAAACGUGGGGAGCGAACAGGAUUAGAUACCCUGCGUAGUCCACGCCGUAAUACGAUGAGUGCUAAGUGUUGCUGGGGGUUUCCCGCCACCUUAGUGCAUGCAGCUAGACGCAUCUAAGCACUCCGCCUCGGGGAGGUACGGUACGUCAAGAUCGUGAUAACUCAAAGGGAACUUGACGAGGGGGGUCCG